UGUGGCAUAUGGAGGUUUCCAGGCUAGGAGUCAAAUUGGAGCUGCAGCUGCCAGCCUAAGCCACAGCCACAGCAACACAGGAUCUGAGUUGCAUCUUCAACCUAUGCUGCAGCUCUUGGCAACGCCAGACCCUUAACCCACUGAGCAAGGCCAGGGGUUGAACACACAUCCUCAUGGAAGCUAGUCGGGUUCUUAACCCACUGAGCAACAAUGGGAACUCCUGUAUUCUUCCUCAUUGAAUGGGUCAAUAAACCUGAUUUUGUUGGAUGGCAGGUUUGUGUCUGGUGGUCUUAAGCUGAUUGGGCUAGGUCAUGGGUUGAUCUGCCAGGGCAUAGAGCUGGCCAAAGAGUAGAUCUAGAGGGUCAGGUCAAAAAUAUCCAGCAAGGAAAUAAAGUCCUCUCCCCACCCCAGCCCCCACUGUCUGCAGACCAGAGUGUUAUGAGGAAGGGAGGGAGGGAGGAGAGGGACGUUGAAUCAUCCAGUGUUCACGGACAGCUGGGGCUGAAUAAAGGGUUGUGGAAAUGAAUCAAUCAGCUUCUGAGUGGGGCUGGAAGCAACAGAAAGAUCUAGGCUCCUUACUAAGGCACAAUGGCAGCACUGGGGCUCCUGACAUUUGAAGGGCUGCCUCUUUACCCCAAUGGAAAUGAGUCCAAAAAAAUGUGAAAGGAGAAAGGGGAUAAAGCAGAAUUCUUAAAAUGCCCUUCCUUUGAACACCAUCUUUGUGCAGGCAUCUGGGGGAGGCCGCUGGGGCAGGGUCAUCUGUCAGCCAGGCCUGUAGGACUUGGCUUUUCCUGUUUACUCCCAGCCACAUCUGGGGCAGUGGCCAGGGCCCGCCCCCACUCUGCCAUCAUUGGAGGAACUCAAACUUUAAAGGUCCUGCUAAGAAUCAGAACAUUUCAAUUUCCUCUUACUGGUGGGUCUGCUGUGGCCGGUCAGGAAGGGCUGAGCCGUGGUCCAGCCCCGAGUGGAGAGCCAGCCUCUCACCAUGCCAGCCUGGUGCAGCUGGAACGACGUUUUCCAGUAUGAGACAAACAAAGUCACCCGGAUCCAGAGCAUGAAUUACGGCACCAUUAAGUGGUUCUUCCACGUAUUGGUCUUUUCCUAUGUUAGGUAAGUGGGGCGUGGGGAGGGCCCUGAAUCUCUGCAGUGGCUGAAAGCAGCCCAGAAAACCUCAAGGUGCAGCUCCUGAUGCACAUUCUGAAUCCUCUGUGGUUUUAAAAUCUGCAAGCUGGGGGUGGAGGUGGGGAGUCGGGAGAGGAAGCAGGGCCAGUCUGCUGCAGGGAGAAGCCACAGGAAGGGAGUGUGACACCAUGGGUUCUAACCCAGGCCUGCUGGGGCAAGCUGGGCAGGGCAUGCCUGGAGAAGGUGGGGAAAUGCAGGGCAACACCCUGGAUUCCUGGGAAGGAGUAAAGGAUUUGGGACACGCCUGAUGAUAAUGCCGGCAUCAAUCUGAGUCAUCCCUGCUCUUGGGGAGGAAUAGGACUAGACCUGUAAAAGCAACUUCAGGUCCUCCUUGGUGUCAAGAAGACCCUUCUUGCUCCUUUUUUUUUUUGAAAAAAAACCAGCUUAUUGAGAUACAAUUCACAUACCAUACAAUGCACCCAUUUAAAGGAUACAAUUCAGCAGUUUUUAGCAUAUUCAAAGAGUUGUGCAACCAUCCACAAUUAAUUUUAGAAUAUUUUCACAGCUCCUGUCAUGGCUUAGUGGAAAAGACUCUGACUAGCAUACAUGAGGACGCAAGUUCAAUCCCUGGCCUUGCUCAGUGGGUAAGGAUCUGGCGUUGACAUGAGCUGUGGUGUAGGUUGCAGAUGUGGCUCGGAUCCCACAUUGCUGUGGCUGUGGUGUAGGCCGGCAGCUACAGCUCUGAUUCGACCCCUAGCCUGGGACCCUCCAUAUGCUGUGGGUGUGGCUCUAAAAAAAAAAAAAAGGCCAUAUUUUCAUUACCUCAUAACCAGAACAAAACAAAACCCUACAUCCCUUAACCAUCACUCUCAAUCCUCCUAUUCCCCUGCAGCUCCAGGUACCCACUGAUCUGUUUUCUGGCUCUAUGGAUUUACCUAUUUUGGAUAAUUCAUACAAAUGGAAUCACACAAUAUAUCAUCCUUUUGCAACUGUUUUCAAGGUUCAGCCAUGUUAGAACAUGUAUCUCUAUUGCAUUCCUUUUAAUGGCUGAGUAAUAUUCCAUUGUAUGGAUAUACGACUUUUGAGUGGAAGUUUGGGUUGUUUCUAAUUUUUGACUAUGAUGAAUGAUGCUGCUGUGAACAUCUGUGCACACAUUGUUUUUCGAACAUGUCUUCAGUUUUCUUUGGUAUGUACAUCUGAAUGGAACCGUUGGAUAACUUGGCAAACUCUCCUCAGUCUUUUGAGGAACCAUUCAACUGUUUUUCACAGUGGCUGCACCAUCUCAUAUUCCCACCAGCAAUGUAUGUUCCAAUUUCUCCACAUCCUCAUCAUCACUUGUUAGCGUCUGUCUUUUGGAUUACAGGCCCCAGUGAGUGAGUAUUUCAUUGUGGUUUUGAUUCAUAUUUCUCUCAUGGCAACUGCUCCCUGGCUCUUUGUGGUGGUGAUGAUGAUGAUAACUUGCAUCUAUUCAGAGAGACAGUGUACUUCACUAGCUCAAGGUUAAAGAAACCUAUUUUAUAGACCUGGCUAAGUUUUCUUGACCACGUUUAACCUCUCUGAGCUUCAGUUUCUGCAUCUGUUCAGAGAGUUGUGAUAAUUAAACAAGAAAUGGCAAGACAAACACUUAUCGAUGCCUAGUAUAGGGUAAGAGCAUCACAUAUGGUAGCUAUUUUUAAAAAUAAUCUUUUUGAAUUUAAUAGUUUCUUUCAUAUACAUCCUAUCCUUUGACCCUGAAAGUAAUCAUGCCCAUGCUUGAGAUUUGAAAUCUGGAAAUCUGGAUCCAAAAAUCCUUCACUUUUUUUGUUUUCUUUUUGUCCUUUGUCCUUGGCACAUGGAGGUUCCCAGGCCAGAGGUCUAAUCAAAGCUGUUGCUAUUGGCCUAUGCCAGAGCCACAGCAAUGCCAGAUCUGAGUUGUGUCUGUGACCUACACCACAGCUCACAGCAAUGCUGGAUCCUCAACCCACUGACCGAGGCCAGGGAUCAAACCCGCAACCUCAUGGUUCCUAGUCGGAUUCGUUUCCACUGCACCACAGCGGGAACUCCAAAAAUCCUUCACUUUUUUUGAGCCUUGGUUUCCUCAUCUGUAAAAGGGGAUAAUUGUUGUUGUGAGAAUUAAAAGAGUUAAUAAAUGUAAAGCUGCUGUGAAAAUACCUGGCAUAUGGUGAGCCCUUACGAAGUGUUAAUUCUUCUUUGUCAAUAAUAUUAUUAGGAUUAUCAUUAUUUUAUUCAUAUGGUUACUAUGCAACAAAUAUUAAAAAAUACAUAUGUAUGUUAAAAUUCUAAUAUAAGACAUAUUACUCAGACCAGAUAUCAUAGAACCGAUAAUAAAGAGCAUAGUUAGUAAAUGCUCCCUUAGGGAUCAAUACAUAGAUCAUAUGUCACAAUUCCACACUGUACUGUGGCUUCCUGGUAUUCUUGGGUCUAGUGCAGAAUGUCUUAAAAGCAGAUUAUUGCAUAUAUAAUAACAGAUUAUUAUAGAACAUCUUGUAAUGAUAAAUAUUUUUCUUUCCUAUGGUGGAAUCUUAUCCUGCAUGCAUUUAAUUCUCUCAAAUUAAGUUGUGCAUUUUCCACAGGAGCAUGGAGAGACAGAGAAAGCACAGUUUAAACAGUGCAAUGAUUCAGCAGUUGGGGGCCCCAGGGGUACAUGUGAGAUGGGGUUCCCUCAGUCAGUCUCUGUUCCCACGUUUCUUAUAGAACAAGCAUCUUGCCACCCUACCUGUGAGUAUUUCCACCCAACAUGUCCCCUAGAAUAAGCCAACUCCUUUAUUUUCAUCUGGAGCAAAACUGGAAAAACAGCCACUUGUUCCAGAGCUGGAGGGAAAACUGGCUCUCAUGAACUCAUUGGGAGGGGGAAGGUCUGUUUGCUAUGCUUUAUAGACAGUUUAAGGAUUUGCCAAAAGGCAGUUUUGUCAAGACAAAUUUGUGAAGACAAUAUUUACCUCAAGGGCUGACUUUAGAAGAUAACCCCUAUGUAAAACGCUUCUCUAUUGCUCAUAUUUUAAAAUAUACAAUUGAAGAAAAAGUAUUACCACCCUUGAUUUUUCUUCCCCUCUAUGCUAAUGGUUCAUCUAUUUACAUCUCAUUAAAUGAAGUCCCAUAGAACACAGCCUGGGAAAUGCUGCCUUAAAUUGGACUGUGAGGCCUCAAGCUGAUAGAAUUGCAGAUUGCCCAUCUGUGAAAUGGGUAGACCCAUGGUGCAAAGAGAUUCAAUGAGGUAGUUUGCAUCAAAUAGGACUGGUAUGGAUCAUAGGUGGAAGUCCAGACAGGCCCGGAUAACAUUCAGGAUAUAAGGCGAGAGGUGGUGGAUUCUGGCCAUGGGGUUCAUGGCCCUCUGGCAGAAAAGGCAAAAAGCCAGGAUAAUGAAGUAAGAUAAGAAGGUACAAGGCAGAGGCUGGCAAUAGAGGAAAGAGGCUGAUCGGAUUUUCACAGUCCCUCACAACCUGGUUCCAAUUUGUAGUCAAAGGCAGGGGCUGUAGCUACAGGCAAGAUCCAGUGGCUCCAGCUUCCAGGGCAAGAGUGUGUGGAGAGGAUGCUGAGUAGGCCUGCAUUAGUCAGAACUGUUUGCAUAUUAAGUGACAGAAACCUAAUGCAAGUUAGCCACCAAGCCACACAGAGGAAUUUAUUGUCUUAACUGGACAGCAGAAGAAAUAGCUCUCUUCUGAAGCAGAUGGUUAUAAAAGUUCAAACUGUGUCAGACUGUGGGGGCUGGGUCUCUCUCCCCACAUCUUUUUUUUUUUCCCCCAUUUAUGUUUCUCUCCCCACAUCUUGGCUCUACUCAGCUUUCUUCUUGAAUAGGCUCUCUAUGUAGCAAGAUAGUACAUUCACAUCUUCACAUCCUCCCCUUUUAGCAAUCCCAGAGGAACAAAAGAGACUCUUCUGAGAGCUCUGGCAGGAAAGUCAUAGGAAAGGCUCUGAUUGGUUCAGUUUGACUUACAUACCCAUCCCUGAACCAAACCCUGUGUUUGGGGAUGUGUCAACUGAUUGGUGAGCCCUAGAUCACAUGCUGGCUUCUAUGGCAGGAAGUAGGGAGAAGGUGGCAGGACCGAAUGAGUGGAACCUAAACAAUGUCCUGUGGGUCGUCCUUGGGAAAGAAGAAUUCGGCUGCCAAAAUAAAAUAGUGAAAGGAUGGGGUAGGGAGAGAGCCAGACAAAAUGCAAACAUCUGUUACAAGGUCUUUCCAAAAGCCAGAAAUUCCAGGGACAUCUGAAGGCUACUGCUCUAUCCCUGACUUGUCUCAACCCAGCACCUGUGCUGUGGAGACUCUGCCCCAAGUUAUUGCCAAAACUGGGACCUAGGUGUUCUCAACAGAAAUUCCCUCUGAGAAUCAGUUCUUGGAACUCCAUAUAGUCUUCCAGUCCGGGUUCUAUUCUGUCCUCUGGCCUCGAUGAGAUGGGAAGAAUGGGAUAAUGAUGUUUAUCCUCCAUGAGAACUGAGAUUCAAAUGCCUGAAUGACCAUAAAGAGAGCUUCCUUCUAUUGUUGGCUUUAUUUAUACCAUCUCAUUUGUACUAGGACUUAGGUGUUUUUUUUCCUUAUUUCACAGAUAAGGAAAUGGAAGGCAUGAAAGAAGGAGUUCAAUUAUAAAAAUCAUCCAGUUAGAAAUCAAAUUCCGGAACGGAUUCAAAUCCAAAGCCAAUGCUCUUAAUCCACAAACCACAUUGCUAAAGUGGAACUUGUCAGACUUUGAAAGCCUAGGCACUAGGCCUCGUCAACCCUUAGGCCAAUCAUUCUUCCUUUUCACCAUCAUCUUCUUUGUCUUUCUGAGUGGGCCAGGGCAAGUGAGAAAUGAGCAUCCCAUGAGUGUGGCUUUCUCCAUUGUUUAUUCAUUUCCCAAAUUUUAGAGUAUCUACUCUGAGUCAGGCUCUGUUAUUCAGUGGCACGAGGGGCUGUAACAAUGAGUGAAACAAAGAUCUUGCAACUCAUUGGAGUAUAUUCUAAUAUUCCAAUGGAGGAAAGUGAUAUAAUACAAAAAAAGCAAGGAGACAUAAUAAAAUGUCUGAUGGUGUUAAGUGCUAUGAAGAAUAACAAAUCAGGGAAGAGGACAACAAAUGAGCAUAUAUGUGACACAGACAUUUGGGCUGAGAUGGGUACGAAGAGAGGGAAAAAGCAAUGGAGUGUCAGGAAGAGUGUUUCUGGUGGAGAGAACAGGAAGUGCAAAGGCCCUGAGGUUGGGACUUAAUAGGGUAUUCAAGGGAAAGCAAGGAGGUUUGUGGCUGGAGAAGCUAGGGGUCGAAUCAGAGCUGCAGCUACUGGCCUACGCCACAAACAUAGCAAUGACAGAUCCGAGCUGCAUCUAUGACCUGCACCACAGCUCAUGUCAAUGCCAGAUCCUUAACCCACUGAGCAAGGCCAGG
rnacentral:lncRNA from 1 species